AGAGUUUGAUCCUGGCUCAGGACGAACGCUGGCGGCGCGCCUAACACAUGCAAGUCGAACGAAGUCAAGAGGAGCUUGCUCUUUUUGACUUAGUGGCGAACGGGUGAGUAACGCGUGAGGAACCUGCCUCAAAGAGGGGGACAACAGUUGGAAACGACUGCUAAUACCGCAUAAGCCCACAGCUCCGCAUGGAGCAGGGGGAAAAGGAGCAAUCCGCUUUGAGAUGGCCUCGCGUCCGAUUAGCUAGUUGGUGAGGUAACGGCCCACCAAGGCGACGAUCGGUAGCCGGACUGAGAGGUUGAUCGGCCACAUUGGGACUGAGACACGGCCCAGACUCCUACGGGAGGCAGCAGUGGGGAAUAUUGCACAAUGGGGGAAACCCUGAUGCAGCGACGCCGCGUGGAGGAAGAAGGUCUUCGGAUUGUAAACUCCUGUUGUUGGGGAAGAUAAUGACGGUACCCAACAAGGAAGUGACGGCUAACUACGUGCCAGCAGCCGCGGUAAAACGUAGGUCACAAGCGUUGUCCGGAAUUACUGGGUGUAAAGGGAGCGCAGGCGGGAAGACAAGUUGGAAGUGAAAUCUAUGGGCUCAACCCAUAAACUGCUUUCAAAACUGUUUUUCUUGAGUAGUGCAGAGGUAGGCGGAAUUCCCGGUGUAGCGGUGGAAUGCGUAGAUAUCGGGAGGAACACCAGUGGCGAAGGCGGCCUACUGGGCACCAACUGACGCUGAGGCUCGAAAGUGUGGGUAGCAAACAGGAUUAGAUACCCUGGUAGUCCACACUGUAAACGAUGAUUACUAGGUGUUGGGGGAUUGACCCCCUCAGUGCCGCAGUUAACACAAUAAGUAAUCCACCUGGGGAGUACGACCGCAAGGUUGAAACUCAAAGGAAUUGACGGGGGCCCGCACAAGCAGUGGAGUAU
rnacentral:rRNA from 1 species